AGUGAACGCUGGCGGUAGGCCUAACACAUGCAAGUCGAACGGCAGCACAGUAAGAGCUUGCUCUUACGGGUGGCGAGUGGCGGACGGGUGAGGAAUACAUCGGAAUCUACUUUUUCGUGGGGGAUAACGUAGGGAAACUUACGCUAAUACCGCAUACGACCUACGGGUGAAAGCAGGGGAUCUUCGGACCUUGCGCGAUUGAAUGAGCCGAUGUCGGAUUAGCUAGUUGGCGGGGUAAAGGCCCACCAAGGCGACGAUCCGUAGCUGGUCUGAGAGGAUGAUCGGCCACACUGGAACUGAGACACGGUCAAGACUCCUACGGGAGGAAGAAGUGGGGAAUAUUGGAAAAUGGGGGAAAGCCUAACCCAGCAAUACCGCGUGGGUAAAGAAGGCCUUCGGGUUGUAAAGCCCUUUUGUUGGGAAAGAAAAGCAGCAGGUUAAUACCCCGCUGUUCUGACGGUACCAAAAGAAUAAGCACCGCCUAACUUGGU
rnacentral:rRNA from 1 species